rnacentral:rRNA from 1 species
AUUGAACGCUGGCGGCAGGCCUAACACAUGCAAGUCGAGCGGAUGAAGGGAGCUUGCUCCUGGAUUCAGCGGCGGACGGGUGAGUAAUGCCUAGGAAUCUGCCUGGUAGUUGGGGAUAACGUCCGUAAACGGGCGCUAAUACCGCAUACGUCCUGAUGGGGAAAGUGGGGGAUCUUCGGACCUCACGCUAUCAGAUGAGCCUAGGUCGGAUUAGCUAGUUGGUGGGGUAAAGGCCUACCAAGGCGACGAUCCGUAGCUGGUCUGAGAGGAUGAUCAGUCACACUGGAACUGAGACACGGUCCAGACUCCUACGGGAGGCAGCAGUGGGGAAUAUUGGACAAUGGGCGAAAGCCUGAUCCAGCCAUGCCGCGUGUGUGAAGAAGGUCUUCGGAUUGUAAAGCACUUUAAGUUGGGAGGAAGGGCAGUAAGUUAAUACAUUGCUGUUUUGACGUUACCAACAGAAUAAGCACCGGCUAACUUCGUG